rnacentral:rRNA from 1 species
UACGAAGGGGGCUAGCGUUGUUCGGAAUCACUGGGCGUAAAGGGCGCGUAGGCGGCUUUAUAAGUCGGGGGUGAAAGCCUGUGGCUCAACCACAGAAUUGCCUUCGAUACUGUAGAGCUUGAGACCGGAAGAGGUAAGUGGAACUGCGAGUGUAGAGGUGAAAUUCGUAGAUAUUCGCAAGAACACCAGUGGCGAAGGCGGCUUACUGGUCCGGUUCUGACGCUGAUGCACGAAAGUGUGGGGAUCAAACAGG